GCAUUUCCUCUACAUUUAUUGCAACGGCUAAAUGAUUAACAACAUUCACAACUUCUUAGAUCUUAAAAAACAGAAACAAAAGAAAACUUCCAUUUUGUAACAUCACAAAUGUCUUCUAGGCUUUAUCAAGGACCAAAAACACUACAAUUCUCUAAGUGAUUUCCAGUGAUGGAAACAAGCCAGAGACAGUAAAGCACCCAGAGUGGCGAGAGAGCACUUCCAGAUGCCUGUUGUCCUCUCGGGGGUGACCCUGGAACUAGAACGACAGAAAAGACACUGUGACUUUGACACGGCUGUGCCACCACACAUCACGCGCGACACGAGGAUCCUGCAGAGCGGCCUCUGCAGAGAGCAAGGACAGCCUCGGUUAAGAGGGAGGGGCUGGGGGCACGGAGGGCCAGUGGCAUCUCCUCUAUCCCGGCUGGCCGGCAGCUGGCAGCACGCACCAUGCUCUGCUGGCUCCCGACACCUUCACUGCCCCAGCGCUGAAUCCACAGGAGAGGUGUCCUCUGAGAGUGUAGGGGGCUUUCUAGGUUCAAGGAGAUGUGCCCUUUGACCCCUGCCAAGGACUCACAGAACCAUCUCAGCUCAAACUUGGAGGAGCGGCAGGAGGUGGGGGGCGGUCAGUGGCCACACGCCACAGAUUCCUAAAGCAUUUAACUUUUUAAUAAAAUGAAGUGGAGAAAGUCAAGAAUGAACAUGCUAGGACAAAGCACAUGGAAUGGUCAGGGCGAUGCUGGAGAGAGUGCGCUUGAUCCACGCUGCAGGUGUGUGCGCCUCGCUCGGGUCAAUGGGCUGAGCCCCGCUUGGAGCUCCAUCCAUUCACCUGACCCAUGGCCAACAUGGAAGCUGUCGGAGGGGUCAGGAAAGGAGAAGGAGAAAGGAGAAGAUGAACCCCCCGCACCUGUGACUCCCCAAAACCAGCUCCACUCCAGGCCCCCACAGGCUGGUUCGUUCGAGGGUUGGGUUAUAAACCCAAACUCCAUCCUCCAUGCUGGCACCUCUACUGCCAUAAAGAUCUGCCAGUUGCCAAAGCUACAGAAGCCACUGGAAGCAAGCAGAGCCCCUGGGGGUGGUGGCACUGCAAGGUGACAGGGACCAGGCAGACAAGGAGCUGGGACCACAGCCUAGGAAGUCUGUGGCUUAAAGAAAGCCAGGAUUUCCUUUUUUUUUUUUGAGACAGAGUCUCGCUCUGUUGCCAGGCUGGAGUGCGGUGGCACAAUCUCGGCUCACUGCAACCUCCGCCUCCCGGGUUCAAGUGAUUCUCCUGCCUCAGCCUCCUGAGUAGCUGGGACUACAAGCGCCCGCCACCACGCCCAGCUAAUUUUUUGCAUUUUUAGUAGAGACAGGGUUUCACCAUGUUGGCCAGGAUGGUCUCGAUCUCUUGACCUCGUGAUCCAUCCGCCUCAACCUCCUAAAGUGCUGGGAUUACAGGCUUGAGCCACUGUGCCUGGCCCAAAGCCAGGAUUUCUUUACAGCCAAUACAAGUGGCAUUUCCCGCUCAGUUCUGUGGCUGAUGCCCUAGCCACUGCUGUGUCCCCUAAUCCUGGGGUGUCAGAGGGAUCCUAAGUUUUCCAGAUUUUUGCCCAUACUUAAAACUUCAACGAUCCUGCUUCACAAGGAAGGAUGAGUGGAGAAUUGAGUGGAGUUACACGCAGCAGAGUGCUGGGGAAUCUGGAGAGCGGGGGCGAUCACAUGCCUGGAAAUAGAGCAGCUGCAGAGCCCACCCCAGGAGGAGCCUGCCUCUCCUUACAAAGGCUGUAAUAAGACAGCACUUGACGAUGCCAUACGUGCGAAAAGUGCAGAGUCUCAGAGGGUUUACAACCCCCAUCCCUUUGUAACUGUAGUUUGCUUACACUGUGGAUUCUAAAGAGACAUGUAAAUCUGGGGCCGAUUUCAUCUGUUUAAUGAUUACUCCCCACCCGAUAGAGCUAUUCUAUACUGUUGCUAAAAUUUCAUUAAGUCUCUCAAGAUGCAUUGAUGAGAUGAGACACCAUGAAUAACACAUUCAUCAACUCAAGUAUGGCAACUGUUCAGAGAGCUUCAGAGCUUUGGUACCCGAGUGCAGACUUGGUAAUUACCGGGAAUUUGUCUCCCCCGUAUAAAUUCUGGCGAACAACGAGAAAACACCAUCUGUGAUCGUUUCCACAUCACGUUUGCUAACAGAGCACUUCUGGAGAGCAAUGGCCAGUCCAACUGGAAAAUCAGCCAGAGGAGCUGGUUCCUCAGCACUCACAGGCUGAGGUGCCUUUCGGGGGCAGCGCCACCUUCUGAAGGGGAACCAAGACAGAUUUGGAGGGGACUUGCUGCUAAAAGCAUGUGAACAGAGAGGAGAGGCAAAAGCACAUUGAAAAUGGUGCAUGUUUUUUUCUUUGAGAGAAAGAAAAGCCAGCGAAACCUCCGCCCCAGAGACUG
rnacentral:lncRNA from 1 species